rnacentral:rRNA from 1 species
AUAUUGGUCAAUGCCGGCAGGCUGAACCAGCCAAGUCGCGUGAAGAAGACGGCCCUAAGGGUUGUAAACUUCUUUUGUAUGGGAAUAAAGUGCGGGAUGUGUCCUGUUUUGUAUGUACCAUACGAAUAGCAUCGGCUAACUCCGUGCCAGCAGCCGCGGUAAUACGGAGGAUGCGAGCGUUAUCCGGAUUUAUUGGGUUUAAAGGGUGCGUAGGUGGGCUGUUAAGUCAGCGGUGAAAUUUUGGUCGCUUAACGAUAAAAAUGCCGUUGAAACUGGUGGUCUUGAGUAUGGAGGAAGCAGGCGGAAUGCGUGGUGUAGCGGUGAAAUGCUUAGAGAUCACGCAGAACUCCGAUUGCGAAGGCAGCUUGCUAUACCAAAACUGACGCUGAGGCACGAAAGCGUGGGUAUCAAACAGGAUUAGAUACCCUGGUAGUCCACGCAGUAAACGAUGAUUACUAGGAGUUUGCGAUAAAGCGUAAGCUCUACAGCGAAAGCGUUAAGUAAUCCACCUGGGGAGUACGCCGGCAACGGUGAAACUCAAAGGAAUUGACGGGGGCCCGCACAAGCGGAGGAACAUGUGGUUUAAUUCGAUGAUACGCGAGGAACCUUACCCGGGAUUGAAAUGUGCACGAAUGGGGAUGAAAAUUUUCAGCCAGCGAUGGCGUGCAUGUAGGUGCUGCAUGGUUGUCGUCAGCUCGUGCCGUGAGGUAUCGGCUUAAGUGCCAUAACGAGCGCAACCCUGACCGUCAGUUGCCAUCAGGUAAAGCUGGGGACUCUGUCGGGACUGCCGGCGUAAGCUGUGAGGAAGGUUGGGAUGACGUCAAAUCAGCACGGCCCUUACAUUCGGGGCGACACACGUGUUACAAUGGUAGGGACAAAGGGCAGCUACCGGGCGACCGGAUGCGAAUCUCUAAACCUUAUCUCAGUUCGGAUCGGAGUCUGCAACUCGACUCCGUGAAGCUGGAUUCGCUAGUAAUCGCGCAUCAGCCAUGGCGCGGUGAAUACGUUCCCGGGCCUUGUACACACCGCCCGUCAAGCCAUGGGAGCCGGGGGGACCUGAAGUCCGUAACCGCAAGGAUCGGCCUAG